ensembl:lncRNA
CCAGGGUGUUUAUGACCUGUCCCUGGCUCCACACAGCUCUUGUCAAUUUCUUCUAUUUGUCACUCUGAACUGUCAUUUAUAGUGAUAAGAAAAGAACAGAAGGCUCAGUAGAGGCGAACACCGAGGGAUGUUAAAGACAUCUGAGGACUCCCUGUUUUGCAUUUUGAGGACUAUUUUGAUCUCUGCCAGUUCAAAGUGGCCAAGAGUAAUUAUCUCAGCUCCUAAAUACAUUCUCAUCUCUAUUCUCUGGAUAAUGACUGUCGACUCCAGGAGUCUGUAAGAUCCAUGAAUAUGUAUGCCCCGAACUGUAUGAUGAGGCCUCAAAACAGCAUCAGCAAAUCCACCUAUUCUUCUUGAGAGGAAAACGUGUCAGUGACCUCUCUGUGGAGUUCUACAAGAAGGUGGGACAAGUGGAGGGUUCCACAAAUUAUUAGCCAGGCUCCAUAGUGGCUGCACCAUUUUGCAAGGCCACCAUCAGUGCAUGAGAAAAUGCCUCAGCUUCACAUAAGGAUUCUAAGGCUCAGGAAGACUAAGUGACUUGCCCAGCUGGGGAUUUAGCUCAGUGGUUCUGUC